rnacentral:rRNA from 1 species
AGUGAACGCUGGCGGUAGGCCUAACACAUGCAAGUCGAACGGCAGCACAGUAAGAGCUUGCUCUUACGGGUGGCGAGUGGCGGACGGGUGAGGAAUACAUCGGAAUCUACUUUUUCGUGGGGGAUAACGUAGGGAAACUUACGCUAAUACCGCAUACGACCUACGGGUGAAAGCAGGGGAUCUUCGGACCUUGCGCGAUUGAAUGAGCCGAUGUCGGAUUAGCUAGUUGGCGGGGUAAAGGCCCACCAAGGCGACGAUCCGUAGCUGGUCUGAGAGGAUGAUCAGCCACACUGGAACUGAGAAACGGUCCAGACUCCUACGGGAGGCAGCAGUGGGGAAUAUUGGACAAUGAGCGCAAGCCUGAUCCAGCCAUACCGCGUGGGUGAAGAAGGCCUUCGGGUUGUAAAGCCCUUUUGUUGGGAAAGAAAAGCAGCAGGUUAAUACCCCGCUGUUCUGACGGUACCCAAAGAAUAAGCACCGGCUAACUUCGUG